AAGCGCGGGUGGCGGGGGUCGGGAGAGGCGUCAGGAUCCCUGGCGCCGCCUGAGCCAGCGGCUGCUAGGAGGCUGUGUCCGCAAGCCAGCGGGGCGAGGCGGCUGGGCCCUGCGCGUCAGGUCCCGGCCUGGGGCACCGGGGCUGCCAGCGUCGGAGGAGGUGCGGGCGCUGGGUUGACGGGCGGCCGAACGGGGGGCCUGCGCGGACCGCCCGCGGCGCAGCCUUGGGUCUGUCUCCAUGUCUAAGUGGUGGUGGCUGUGGGUUUUUCUGCAGGUGAUCCUUUUGAGUAAUUUGUUUCACGCAGGCGCCCUGCUGUAGGGUAAAGCGGCAGAUUCGUGCUGCUGUCAUUUGUCGUUCAAACUGUGGGCUUCUUGACCAGGCGCGGUGGCUCAAGCCUGUAAUCCCAGCACUUUGGGAGGCCGAGGCGGGCGGAUCACGAGGUCAGGAGAUGGAGAUCAUCCUGGCUAACACGGCGAAACCCUGUCUCUACUAAAAAUACAAAAAAUUAGCUGGGCGUGGUGGCGGGCGCCUGCAGUCCCAGCUACUCGGGAGGCUGAGGCAGGACAAUGGUGUGAACCCGGGAGGUGGAGCUUGCAGUGAGCUGAGAUUCCGCCACUGCACUCAAGACUGGGUGACAGAGGGAGACUCCAUCUCAAAACAAAACAAAAAACGAUGGGCUUUCUGUCAUGUGUGUGUGUACCUUUUGGAUUUGAGGGCAGGGGGAUGACAUUGUGAUCUGGCCUCCUGAGAAACCAGGCACACCCUGCCUACCUUGGAAGGAGGCUUUCCCUUCCCCACCUCCCUCUCCCUCCAUCUGUUCCCUCUUUCCCUCUCUGCACUUCACUCCGGUCCCCCAGCUCUUCUCUCCCAUCUUUUUGUUCUCUGUCUCUCUCUUUUGUUUUUUUUCUGCAUUAAACCUUUCCGGAGUGUCUUUGUAAAAUAGUAAAAAGCGUUAGGUCUUCAACAUGUAUGUUUACUUGCAGGCCUGAGAACUGGGAGGAAGCUGGAGAAAAGAUGCCCUCUGAAUCUUUGUGUUUGGCUGCCCAGGCUCGCCUUGACACCGAAUGGUUGAAAACAGAUAUACAGAUGAUAGUGUCGAACCAAGUGGAACAAAGAAAGAAGAUCUGAAUGACAAAGAGAAAAAAGAUGAAGACGAAACUCCUGCACCUGUAUAUAGGGCCAAGUCAAUUCUGGAGACCUGGGUGUGGGUCAAGCAACC
rnacentral:lncRNA from 1 species